rnacentral:rRNA from 1 species
UACAGAGGUCUCAAGCGUUGUCCGGAAUUACUGGGCGUAAAGCGCAUGAAGGUGGUGAAGUAAGUCGGAUGUGAAAUCCCGAGGGCUUAACCCUGGAAGUGCAUCCGGGACUGCUUUGCUCGAGUCCGGAAGAGGAGGGCGGAAUUCCCAGUGUAGAGGUGAAAUUCGUAGAUAUUGGGAAGGACACCGGUGGCGAAGGCGG